GCCCCCAUCGUCUAACGGUUAGGACGCGGCCCUUUCAAGGCUGAAACAGGAGUUCGAUUCUCCUUGGGGGCACCA
rnacentral:tRNA from 1 species